CGGUGGAUGCCCUGGCAGUCAGAGGCGAUGAAGGACGUGCUAAUCUGCGAUAAGCGUCGGUAAGGUGAUAUGAACCGUUAUAACCGGCGAUUUCCGAAUGGGGAAACCCAGUGUGAUUCGUCACACUAUCAUUAACUGAAUCCAUAGGUUAAUGAGGCGAACCGGGGGAACUGAAACAUCUAAGUACCCCGAGGAAAAGAAAUCAACCGAGAUUCCCCCAGUAGCGGCGAGCGAACGGGGAGCAGCCCAGAGCCUGAAUCAGUGUGUGUGUUAGUGGAAGCGUCUGGAAAGGCGCGCGAUACAGGGUGACAGCCCCGUACACAAAAAUGCACAUACUGUGAGCUCGAUGAGUAGGGCGGGACACGUGGUAUCCUGUCUGAAUAUGGGGGGACCAUCCUCCAAGGCUAAAUACUCCUGACUGACCGAUAGUGAACCAGUACCGUGAGGGAAAGGCGAAAAGAACCCCGGCGAGGGGAGUGAAAAAGAACCUGAAACCGUGUACGUACAAGCAGUGGGAGCCUCUUUUAUGGGGUGACUGCGUACCUUUUGUAUAAUGGGUCAGCGACUUAUAUUCUGUAGCAAGGUUAACCGAAUAGGGGAGCCGAAGGGAAACCGAGUCUUAACUGGGCGUUAAGUUGCAGGGUAUAGACCCGAAACCCGGUGAUCUAGCCAUGGGCAGGUUGAAGGUUGGGUAACACUAACUGGAGGACCGAACCGACUAAUGUUGAAAAAUUAGCGGAUGACUUGUGGCUGGGGGUGAAAGGCCAAUCAAACCGGGAGAUAGCUGGUUCUCCCCGAAAGCUAUUUAGGUAGCGCCUCGUGAAUUCAUCUCCGGGGGUAGAGCACUGUUUCGGCAAGGGGGUCAUCCCGACUUACCAACCCGAUGCAAACUGCGAAUACCGGAGAAUGUUAUCACGGGAGACACACGGCGGGUGCUAACGUCCGUCGUGAAGAGGGAAACAACCCAGACCGCCAGCUAAGGUCCCAAAGUCAUGGUUAAGUGGGAAACGAUGUGGGAAGGCCCAGACAGCCAGGAUGUUGGCUUAGAAGCAGCCAUCAUUUAAAGAAAGCGUAAUAGCUCACUGGUCGAGUCGGCCUGCGCGGAAGAUGUAACGGGGCUAAACCAUGCACCGAAGCUGCGGCAGCGACACUUAUGUGUUGUUGGGUAGGGGAGCGUUCUGUAAGCCUGUGAAGGUGUGCUGUGAGGUAUGCUGGAGGUAUCAGAAGUGCGAAUGCUGACAUAAGUAACGAUAAAGCGGGUGAAAAGCCCGCUCGCCGGAAGACCAAGGGUUCCUGUCCAACGUUAAUCGGGGCAGGGUGAGUCGACCCCUAAGGCGAGGCCGAAAGGCGUAGUCGAUGGGAAACAGGUUAAUAUUCCUGUACUUGGUGUUACUGCGAAGGGGGGACGGAGAAGGCUAUGUUGGCCGGGCGACGGUUGUCCCGGUUUAAGCGUGUAGGCUGGUUUUCCAGGCAAAUCCGGAAAAUCAAGGCUGAGGCGUGAUGACGAGGCACUACGGUGCUGAAGCAACAAAUGCCCUGCUUCCAGGAAAAGCCUCUAAGCAUCAGGUAACAUCAAAUCGUACCCCAAACCGACACAGGUGGUCAGGUAGAGAAUACCAAGGCGCUUGAGAGAACUCGGGUGAAGGAACUAGGCAAAAUGGUGCCGUAACUUCGGGAGAAGGCACGCUGAUAUGUAGGUGAAGUCCCUUGCGGAUGGAGCUGAAAUCAGUCGAAGAUACCAGCUGGCUGCAACUGUUUAUUAAAAACACAGCACUGUGCAAACACGAAAGUGGACGUAUACGGUGUGACGCCUGCCCGGUGCCGGAAGGUUAAUUGAUGGGGUUAGCGGUAACGCGAAGCUCUUGAUCGAAGCCCCGGUAAACGGCGGCCGUAACUAUAACGGUCCUAAGGUAGCGAAAUUCCUUGUCGGGUAAGUUCCGACCUGCACGAAUGGCGUAAUGAUGGCCAGGCUGUCUCCACCCGAGACUCAGUGAAAUUGAACUCGCUGUGAAGAUGCAGUGUACCCGCGGCAAGACGGAAAGACCCCGUGAACCUUUACUAUAGCUUGACACUGAACAUUGAGCCUUGAUGUGUAGGAUAGGUGGGAGGCUUUGAAGUGUGGACGCCAGUCUGCAUGGAGCCGACCUUGAAAUACCACCCUUUAAUGUUUGAUGUUCUAACGUUGGCCCCUGAUCGGGGUUGCGGACAGUGUCUGGUGGGUAGUUUGACUGGGGCGGUCUCCUCCUAAAGAGUAACGGAGGAGCACGAAGGUUGGCUAAUCCUGGUCGGACAUCAGGAGGUUAGUGCAAUGGCAUAAGCCAGCUUGACUGCGAGCGUGACGGCGCGAGCAGGUGCGAAAGCAGGUCAUAGUGAUCCGGUGGUUCUGAAUGGAAGGGCCAUCGCUCAACGGAUAAAAGGUACUCCGGGGAUAACAGGCUGAUACCGCCCAAGAGUUCAUAUCGACGGCGGUGUUUGGCACCUCGAUGUCGGCUCAUCACAUCCUGGGGCUGAAGUAGGUCCCAAGGGUAUGGCUGUUCGCCAUUUAAAGUGGUACGCGAGCUGGGUUUAGAACGUCGUGAGACAGUUCGGUCCCUAUCUGCCGUGGGCGCUGGAGAACUGAGGGGGGCUGCUCCUAGUACGAGAGGACCGGAGUGGACGCAUCACUGGUGUUCGGGUUGUCAUGCCAAUGGCACUGCCCGGUAGCUAAAUGCGGAAGAGAUAAGUGCUGAAAGCAUCUAAGCACGAAACUUGCCCCGAGAUGAGUUCUCCCUGACUCCUUGAGAGUCCUGAAGGAACGUUGAAGACGACGACGUUGAUAGGCCGGGUGUGUAAGCGCAGCGAUGCGUUGAGCUAACCGGUACUAAUGAACCGUGAGGCUUAACC
rnacentral:rRNA from 1 species